rnacentral:rRNA from 1 species
AAUAUUGGACAAUGGGCGAAAGCCUGAUCCAGCCAUGCUGCGUGUGUGAAGGAGGUCUACGGACUGUAACGCACUCUAAGAUGGGAGGAAGGGCAGUAAGUUAAUACCUUGCUGUUUUGACGUUACCGACAGAAUAAGUUCCGGCUAACUUCGUGCAUGUAGUCGCGGUAAUACGAAGGGUGCUAGCGUUAAUCGGAAUUACUGGGCGUAAAGCGCGCGUAGGUGGAGUGUAAAGUUGGAAGAUAAAGCCCCGGGCUCAACCUGGAAACUGCGAUAACAACUGGCAAGCUAGAGUAUGGCAGAGGGUGGUGGAAUUUCCUGUGUAGAGGUGAAAUGCGUAGAUAUAGGAAGGAGCACCAGUGGCAAAGGCGACCACCUGGGCUAAUACUGACACUGAGGUGCGAAAGCGUGGGGAGCAAAC